rnacentral:rRNA from 1 species
GAUGAACGCUGGCGGCGUGCCUAAUACAUGCAAGUCGAACGGUCGAUUUCGGUCGACAGUGGCGAACGGGUGAGUAACGCGUUGGUGACCUGCCCCGAAGAGCGGGAUAACAGUCCGAAAGGAAUGCUAAUACCGCAUGAGCUAGCCAUAGUUUAGGAAAUGGUUAGGAAAGGGAGAAAUCCGCUUUGGGAGGGGCCUGCGUCCCAUCAGCUAGUUGGUAAGGUAACGGCUUACCAAGGCGAUGACGGGUAGGGGACCUGAGAGGGUGACCCCCCACAAUGGAACUGAAACACGGUCCAUACACCUACGGGUGGCAG